UAUCACAAAACACUGAAAUAAAACACACGGCACACGGUUUAGGCUCCUCGGUGAGGGUCAUUUCCAGCUCUUUUAAUGGCUAUUUUGACCAAUCUGCAGAUCUUGAUACAAAACAAUUAUUUCAAUAAUUAUAAUUCCCACUUUGCUGGCAGCUAAAUGCAACAGUUCCUCAUUUCUGCUUCACUGUUUCUUGGAUGCUUCAUUUGAAUGCCUGCAUUUCUUAAUAACACCCUCAUUUGCUAUUAAUCUGACAAUUCAAAUUAUUUGAAUGGCUUUAUUUAAUUCAUAAGACACUCCCUAUUUCCAUUCCACAUUUAAUAUUAAUUUCUUAGAUGAAAAUAAGGUCUGCAUGGAAUAGCUAAUGUUUAACUUUCAGUAUGCACUGAAAACUCACAUUAGGCAGAAUGUAUUAUAUAAAAUUGUUACUCCACACAAUGUUCUGGGAAUGGCAGGUAUCCUAAUGUCCGACAGAUUUUGUGCUAAUUUUGGUUUGCUUCUGAACCUUGCAUUAUGUGAGAAUAAUGACUGUAGGUAACCCAACCAAUGUCAAACCGAAAACCUUUCGAUUCCAAACAGAAAUUAUAGCUUUCUGGUGAAAGCUGUGUCUAUUAUUAAUGUGAACAAUUUGGCUAAUAAGAAUUAAUUCUAAGUCACCCAGUGCUUUCAACGGGAAUAAAAGCAGCAACGAAGGUGUCAGAAGGAAGCCAAAUACCAGACAUAGAUAGAUAGAUAGAUAGAUAGAUAGAUAGAUAGAUAGAUAGAUAGAUAGAUAGAUAGAUAGAUAAGCCCCCAAAAUGCUGAAUGCAGUUAUCCAGAGACACAGUCCACCUAGGAGGUGGUUUCUUAUUUUACAUUGGUCCUAAAUUCUUCACAACAUUCCUAUGUAUUAAUUUUUUUAAAUACUUAUGAGGUAACUACAAUCAUAUAUUUUUGUUCCUACAAUAACUGAACACAUUGUAAAUAUGUUUGACAUAACAAAGAAUGCAAUGCAAUGGAUCUAGGUUAAAAUUAAUUGUCUUAUAUUGCAUUUCACUUGCUUCUGUGUUUGGCUCUGGAAAUUAAAUAUUAAAUACUCAGUUCUGUAAGAUUUGGCCUUUACAUAUGAAUCUAUAUUUUACAUCUGAAGGACCGAUGGAAAAUUUGGCAUUAUUUUUCUAUUUCUGAAUUAUUGGAUAUAAAGGUUUUAUUUUUCCAAGAUAGAAACCUCUUUAUCUAAAAUUGGGCAUUAACCGAGAGCAAUGUUAUAUUCCUGAACAACAGUUUGCCAAUUAGCAUAUUAAUUCUUCACCCAAAACUACUGAAAAUCCGUACCAGAAAUAAAUUCUUUUACCAACAGCAUUUAAACAAAAUCAGAUAUAAUCUCUUAGGGGGAUCUAUAUCAGAUUGGUCUUAAUUGUUUUACACAUAAUGCACCUACUGAAAACUAAUCAAACAAUUAUAGAUACAUUAAUUUCUGAAAUGCAAGCCAUGCCAUGUGUGAAGCGUGCCCUCGAAGUAUCAAUCAAGCACAAUAUUUCCUAUUUUGCAUCAGCACAAUUCUGUCACUAAUUGUAUGCAUUCACUGUAUACAAAAUCUUUCAUUUUACCUACAAUUUUUAUAUUUUCAUCUCCUUUAUAUACUCAUAUAUAAACCAAGCCUUAGAAACUUUUUCCAUGGAAAUAUUUUUCCAUUUGCAUACAAUAUUUAAUACUUACAAGGCACAUUUACAUGACAUAUUUACAUGAAAUAGUUUGGCACACAGAACAUAGGCUUUAAAAUCCUUGAUUUUAAAAAAUGCAAUGUAAUGUGCUUUUUCUUUUUGUUUACUAACAAACUUGCAGAUCCUCUUGGAGAUAAUUCCCCUUUGCUGCGAUGAAUGCCCACUUCUUGCUGCUAAUAAGAAAAGGAGUGGACCAUUAAAUAACUACAUUUUAAGAAAGCUGUUGCAAUCUCAAUAUGCAAUACAUGGAAAUCACUUCCUACUUUGGCACAUCGGCCUUUUCUCUUUCAGAAUGCCUAAUAUUUAAUCUGCUGAAAUGUUGCUUAUUUUAUGAAUGCUGCCUGCUAUUUCUGCUGUCAGGAGGAAUUGUGCUUCAUUCUGAAUAUCUGGCAUCUCAACCCUUCACUACAUCUGAACACAUACUCCUUCCAUACCUGUUCUUUACAGAUUAACGCCUUUUAAAUUUAUUCGUGUGUUUUUGUAUUUGAUAUUAUUGUAUGUUGGUUUUAUAUCUGUAAGCCGCCCCGAGUCCCUCUGGGGAGAUGGUGGCGGGGUACAAAAAUAAAAUUAUUAUUAUUAUUAUUAACACUCUUACUAUGUCUUAUUAGCAGAGUUAUUCAAAAAGUAGGACACAUAUUUGCACUUGAUAGGGGAGAAGCAUUGAACAAAAAUAAAUUCCAAGUAUAAACUAAUUUAAAAGAUCAGGACUCCCCCCCCCCCCCCAAAAAAAUACAUAAAUACAUUUUAAGGGCUGCCUUUCCUGCUGGGCUCUGACCUUGGACUGUUUCCCCUCCCAGCCCUAAGCCCUGGGGACCAUCUCCCAAACCUUUCCCAAAACCCAGAGCAGUCUCCUCCACUCUCCAUCCAAUGAUGCUCUUUCCAUCCUUUUAACCCCCCCCCCCCCCCCACCACCACCACCAAAUUAAUAAAGUCGGGCAGCAUCGCCCCAUGUCCCAUGCUGCUUUUCCUCAGACUUCCUUUCUGGGAUGGUUCACCUGUGAAGUCUAGCUUCUUCCCCAAGGGCUUUUCUUUCCACAGAGACUCAAAGCAGCUUUGAGUCUCCUUGUGGAAAGAAAGAGUGGAGUAUAAGUAAGCAUAACAAUAACAACAACAACAACAACAACAACAACAACAGAACUUUCUGGAUUGGGAGGACCCGUCUUUGCCCCUGUGCCCUGUCCCCUUGGUAUAAUAAUAAUAAUAAUAAUAAUAAUAAUAAUAAUAAUAAUAAUAAUAAUAAUAAUAAUACAUCACACAGUCCUAGACACUUGGGAAGUGUUCGACUUGUGAUUUUGUGAUACGAAAUCCAGCAUAUCUACCUUGUUUGCUGUGUCAUAAUAAAAUAAUAAUAAUAAUAAUAUCCUCAGACUUUAAGAUCACAAGCGAGGUUGGUGGGGACAAGGGAGAGGGCCUUCUCAGUAGUGGCCUCCCAGUUCUGGAAUGCUCUCCCCAAGGAAAUUAAGACAAGUGUCCACCUUGUUAACUUUCAGGAAGGAGCUAAAAAUGUGGCUAUUUAAAAAAGCCUUUGAGAAUGGCUAGACCAUAUUGAAAACCAUCAGACAGACACAGGAAUGGCUGGUUAAAUGAUAUAUACUUGGAUUGUUUUUAUAGGACUAUUAGUUUAAAUUGCUUUGUUGUUUUGAAUCUUAGCUUCUAGAUUGGUUGUACAGGACAAAUAUUUAUUUAUGCAUUUACUUCAUUUCUAUCCCACCUUUCUCACCCAAAGAUCUCAAGGCGGAUUAGAGAUCUGGCAAAAAUUCAAUGCCAAUAAAAACAAACAGUAACAGUAAAACAUAAAAACAGUUAAAAACAAUAAAGAUUAAGCAUUAAUAUACACAAAACAUAUAAAGUGCAUAGUUCCAUUCAUCCAAAAACCUUGCACAUAAUCCUCAAUCCAGACCAUGUCGAAGCCAUAGAUACUUAUUCUUUAAAGGCUUGUGUGCAUAGCCAGGUCUUAGCUUUUAAACUGUUACUUAUUAAUCUAUCUUCGUGACCACAUCUCUUUUUAAUUAUGUAUUUAUUAUUUACUUAAAACAUUUAUACUCUGCCCUUCUCACCCAGAAGGGGACUCAGGGCAGAGCACAACAUAUAUAAGGCAAACAUUCCAUGCCGUAACAUAAAAUAAACCAGUCAUCUUCACAUUAAAACCAUUAUUUAAAACCAUCACAAGUCAGCUGUGAAAUUUCCUACUGCUGCCAUUAUUGCACUGCCCCAAAGGCUUGGUCCCACAGCCAGGUCUUGACCAUCUUUCUGAAGGACAGGAGGGAGGGGGCUCAUCUAAUCUUGUCAGGGAGGGAGUUCCAUAGCUGGGGGGCAAUUACUGAGAAGGCCCUGUCUCUCGUCCUCGCCAUUUGCGCCUGUGACAGUGGUGGGACCGAGAGCAGGGUCUCCCCGGAAGAUCUUAAUCUCCGUGGUGUUCAUAGAGGAAGAUACUUUUGGAUAGGUAAACUGGGAUGGGGCCAUUUAGGGCUUUAUAGGCCAAAGCCAGCACUUUGAAUUGAAUCUGAACUGGCGCGGACUCUGAGGUCCACUGGGGAGGCCCUCCUCUCAAUCCCACCGCCUUCACAAGUACGGUUGGUGGGGACGAGGGAGAGGGUCUUCAUGGUGGUGACCACCCGGCUCUGAAGUGCCCUCCCGAAGGAAAUUAGGCAAGCCCCCACCCUCCAAUGUUUUCAGUCCAAUAAAAACUUGGCUCUUUAACCAAGCUUUCCAAUAGGUAUAGAGCCCAAAAGGUUUAAAUUGUGGACCCAUUAGUUUUCACUGAAAGUACUUUAUAUGUCUGGUUGGUUGUUACUCAUUUUAUGUCUAUAAUUACCAUAACAUUUUAUCAAUGUCUUAGGGUUGAUUGAUUUUAUUGUGCUCUUGUUUUAUGUAUUGAUGAUGUAAAUUAUGUUCUUCUUGGAUAUUGAUGUAUCUGUAUUUAUUGCACCAUAUGUACUGUUACAUUACGAGUGCUUGUAAGCCGCCCGAGUCCCUUUUGCGAGAUGGUGACAGGGUAGAAAUAAAGUAUAUUAUUAUUAUUAUUAUUAAUGGUAUUUUAAAUUGCACUAAAUGAUAAUUUGGUUAUUGUUACUGUUGUUUAUCAUGGAUGCUCAUAAUUUUGUAUUAUUAUGUGUUGUAAGCCACCCCAAGUCCCUCCAGGGAGGGGGGUAUAAAUAAACAUUUAUUAUUAUUAUUA